UGAGGAUGAUCAGCCACACUGGAACUGAAACACGGUCCAGACUCCUACGGGAGGCAGCAGUGAGGAAUUUUGCGCAAUGGGGGAAACCCUGACGCAGCAACGCCGCGUGAGUGAAGAAGGUUUUCGGAUCGUAAAGCUCUGUCAAGUGGGAAAAAACGUCUUUGGUCAAUAGCCAAGGAAAUUGAUGGUACCACUGGAGGAAGCACCGGCUAACUCCUUGCCAGCAGCCGCGGUAAUACGGAGGGUGCAAGCGUUGUUCGGAAUUACUGGGCGUAUAGAGCGUGUAGGCGGUUUGGUCAGUCAGAUGUGAAAGCCCUGGGCUCAACCCAGGAAGUGCAUUUGAUACUGCCAGACUUGAGUAUGGGAGAGGAGAGUGGAAUUCCCAGUGUAGAGGUGAAAUUCGUAGAUAUUGGGAGGAACACCCGUGGCGAAGGCGACUCUCUGGACCAAUACUGACGCUGAGACGCGAAAGCGUGGGGAGCAAACAGGAUUAGAUACCCUGGUAGUCCACGCCGUAAACGAUGAGAACUAGGUGUAGCGGGUAUUGACCCCUGCUGUGCCGGAGUUAACGCAUUAAGUUCUCCGCCUGGGGAGUACGGCCGCAAGGCUAAAACUCAAAGGAAUUGACGGGGACCCGCACAAGCGGUGGAGCAUGUGGUUUAAUUCGACGCAACGCGAAGAACCUUACCUGGAUUUGACAUCCUCUGACAUCCCUGGAAACAGGGCUUGUCCGACUUGUCGGAACAGAGUGACAGGUGCUGCAUGGCUGUCGUCAGCUCGUGUCGUGAGAUGUUGGGUUAAGUCCCGCAACGAGCGCAACCCUUGUUUUUAGUUGCCAGUAUUAAGUUAGGCACUCUAAAGAUACUGCCUCGGUUAACGGGGAGGAAGGUGGGGAUGACGUCAAGUCCUCAUGGCCUUUAUAUCCAGGGCUACACACGUGCUACAAUGGACUGUACAAAGGGUCGCGACCUCGCGAGAGGAAGCUAAUCUCAAAAAGCAGUUCUCAGUUCGGAUUGGAGUCUGCAACUCGACUCCAUGAAGUUGGAAUCGCUAGUAAUCGUGGGUCAGCAUGCCACGGUGAAUACGUUCCCGGGUCUUGUACACACCGCCCGUCACACCACGAAAGUCGGCUGUACCAGAAGUUGCUGGGCUAACCCCUUCGGGGAGGCAGGUACCUAAGGUACGGUCGGUAAUUGGGGUGAAGUCGUAACAAGGUA
rnacentral:rRNA from 1 species